rnacentral:rRNA from 1 species
UACGAAGGGGGCUAGCGUUGCUCGGAAUCAUUGGGCGUAAAGCGCACGUAGGCGGUUUGUUAAGUCAGGGGUGAAAUCCUGGAGCUCAACUCCAGAACUGCCUUUGAUACUGAGAAGCUUGAGUCCGGGAGAGGUGAGUGGAACUGCGAGUGUAGAGGUGAAAUUCGUAGAUAUUCGCAAGAACACCAGUGGCGAAGGCGGCUCACUGGCCCGGUACUGACGCUGAGGCACGAAAGCGUGGGGAGCAAACAGG